rnacentral:rRNA from 1 species
CGGACGGGUGAGUAACGCGUGGGUAACCUGCCUCACACAGGGGGAUAACAGUUGGAAACGACCGCUAAUACCGCAUAACCCGCUGGUAUCGCAUGAUACUGACGGAAAAGAUUUAUCGGUGUGAGAUGGACCCGCGUCUGAUUAGCCAGUUGGCAGGGUAACGGCCUACCAAAGCGACGAUCAGUAGCCGGCCUGAGAGGGUGAACGGCCACAUUGGGACUGAGACACGGCCCAAACUCCUACGGAAGGCAGCAG